rnacentral:rRNA from 1 species
GUUGCGGUAAAAAGCUCGUAGUUGGAUUUCUGUCGAGGACGACCGGUCCAUACAAUGUAUGUGCAUCUGGCUCGGCUUCGGCAUCCUCUCGAAAAACGUUUCUGUGCUUGAUUGCAUGGAGCGGAGUUCGGGACUUUUACUUUGAGGAAAUUAGAGUGUUCACGGCAGGCUAUCGCCAGAAUACAUUAGCAUGGAAUAAUACUAUAGGAUUUCGGUUCUAUUUUGUUGGUUUCUAGAAUUGAAAUAAUGAUUAAUAGGGACAAUUGGGGGCAUUCGUAUCAUGGCGUCAGAGGUGGAAUUCUUGGAUUGCCGUGCGACGAACUACUGCGAAAGCAUUUGCCAAGGAUGUUUUCAUUGAUCAAGAACGAAAGUAAGGGGAUCGAAGACGAUUAGAUACCGUCGUAUUUUUUACCACAAACUAUGCCGACUCGGGAUGGGACCUCGUUCUUUUAAGACUGGUUCCGCACCGUAUGAGAUAUCAAAGUUUUUGGGUUCCGGGGGGAGUAUGAGCGCAAGCUUGGAACUUAAAGGAAUUGACGGAAGGGCACCACCAGGAGUGGAACCUGCGGCUUAAUUUGACUCAACACGGGAAAACUCACCAGGUCCAGACAUAAUAAGGAUUGACAGAUUGAUAGCUCUUUCUUGAUUUUAUGGGUGGUGGUGCAUGGCCGUUCUUAGUUCGUGGAGUGAUUUGUCUGCUUAAUUGCGUUAACGAACGAGACCUUAACCUGCUAAAUAGUAGAGGCUAUCUCCGGAUAAGCUCUUUAUUUCUUAGAGGGACUUUAUGUGUUUCAAUAUGAGGAAGUUUGAGGCUAAAACAGGUCUGUGAUGCCCUUCGAUGUUCUGGGCUGCACGCGCGUUACACUGAUGCGUUCAACGAGUG